rnacentral:rRNA from 1 species
CACGGGGGGAGCAAGCGUUGUUCGGAAUCACUGGGCGUAAAGGGCGUGUAGGUGGUUGCGUAAGUCUGGCGUGAAAUAUCUCGGCUUAACCGAGGCAGGUCGUCGGAUACUGCGUAACUAGAGGACGGUAGAGGCGUGUGGAAUUCCGGGUGUAGUGGUGAAAUGCGUAGAGAUCCGGAGGAACACCAGUGGCGAAGGCGACACGCUGGGCCGUACCUGACACUGAUGCGCGACAGCAUGGGGAGCAAACAGG